rnacentral:rRNA from 1 species
GAUGAACGCUAGCGGCAGGCCUAACACAUGCAAGUCGAGGGGUAGAGAGAGCUUGCUUUCUUGAGACCGGCGCACGGGCGCGUAACGCGUAUACAACCUACCUUUUGCUACGGGAUAGCCCAGAGAAAUUUGGAUUAACACCGUAUAGUAUAUGGGGAUUUCAUGAUUUCCAUAUUAAAGGUCACGGCAAAAGAUGGGUAUGCGUCCUAUUAGCUAGAUGGUAAGGUAACGGCUUACCAUGGCAACGAUAGGUAGGGGCCCUGAGAGGGGGAUCCCCCACACUGGUACUGAGACACGGACCAGACUCCUACGGGAGGCAGCAGUGAGGAAUAUUGGACAAUGGGCGCAAGCCUGAUCCAGCCAUGCCGCGUGCAGGAAGACUGCCCUAUGGGUUGUAAACUGCUUUUAUACGGGAUGAAACACCCCCUCGUGAGGGGGCUUGACGGUACCGUAAGAAUAAGGAUCGGCUAACUCCGUGCCAGCAGCCGCGGUAAUACGGAGGAUCCAAGCGUUAUCCGGAAUCAUUGGGUUUAAAGGGUCCGUAGGUGGAUGAUUAAGUCAGGGGCGGAAGUCUGCAGCUCAACUGUAGAAUUGCCUUUGAUACUGGUUAUC